UUUUGAUAAGAGCAUCCAAUGCAUGGCCACCACAGAACCUGACAAAUGACAACUAGUUCGAGAACCUUAUUGUCCACCACCUCCAUUCUAAGAGCCUUUGUAGAUGCUACUGCCAACAUUGCAAGCUGUUAAUCAAAAAACAUGAUCAUGCAGUUUGGAUUUUACGUAUAGUCAACAUAAUGUCUGAAAGAUAAAACAUCCAAUAUGUAUAAUCAUUAAGCCAGAGUAAUGAUUAGGGGAGAUUAGUGCAAUGCAUUCUGCAUAUAAUUAAUGCAGGUGCAGGACUAACAAUCCUUGAAG
rnacentral:lncRNA from 1 species